GCCUGGCCACGCUACAUUCAAUGAUCAGCAAGAGAUUAAUGUGUCCCCUCCUGCCACUCAACCUGUGAUUGCGCCGUCCUCGCCAUAGUCGGCCACGCACUGUCCUGAAUGUUUGCCGGCUGCGGUGUAGCGGAUGGCAUUGGGCUGUCCUCAGAAUUAUGUGUAUUCAUAUGUUUUCGGUUAAUUUUUGCCAUAUGUAUGUAAAGUGUAUGCAGCAUUCGCCUGAUUGUUCGGUAAAAUCACUCCAGUUAUUAUGCGAGUGAAACUACCGAACAAUCAGACCACCCCAGGAAUAAGUGUGCCUCCAAUUACCGUUUGCAACAAUGUUGCAAACGGGUAAUUGGCAAUCAGUGCAGUGUGUGCUUUGUCCUCUGGGUGGCCGCCAUUCGGGAGACUAACACGUGGCGGCUGCCACCUUAAACUCCCAAACAGCGGUGUUUUGCCGUCGAGUGUCUGGAACCCAAAUCGGACACUCGGUUAGGCAAACACUGCUGAGACCUCCACACUGCCGUCACUUCGUGUAGAAACUACCGAACGGCUCCCUGUUCAGUAGAAAGAACCCCACGAACAAGGGGGUUUAUCCGAAUCCUCCCCAGUCUCCAUAACCCAAGCCGUUCGGGCAUUGUGUUCCCUUUUUCUGUGACCGACCUCAGGGCCAAAAUGUAUGGAACCCAUUUCGGCUGUUAACCCCAGCACGGUCGGUCUUUUUACUACCUCCAGGAAUUUCCCAAACCCCUGGUCCGAUCUGGGUUAUUUUUGAAUAUGUUUCUCACCCAGAUCAGGGCAACCAGGGGAUCUAAUAUUUAAAGGGGUACCCAUAUGUUUAGGGGUACAUCCAGAAAACCAGGGGAACUGUGUCCUGCAUAAUGGGAUUAUGAGUCAUACUAAGGGGAGGGGAUGUGUG